rnacentral:rRNA from 1 species
GAUGAACGCUAGCGGCAGGCUUAAUACAUGCAAGUCGAACGGUAAUUCCAGGCAACUGGAAACGAGUGGCGCACGGGUGCGUAACACGUAUGCAACUUACCCUUAACUGGGGCAUAGCUCCGAGAAAUCGGAAUUAAUUCCCCAUAAUUUUUCAGUGAGGCAUCUCACCGGGAAUAAAGCUACGGCGGUUAAGGAUGGGCAUGCGGCCCAUUAGCUAGUUGGUGAUGGUAACGGCUCACCAAGGCAACGAUGGGUAGCUGGUCUGAGAGGAUGAUCAGCCACACUGGCACUGAGACACGGGCCAGACUCCUACGGGAGGCAGCAGUAGGGAAUAUUGGGCAAUGGGCGCAAGCCUGACCCAGCCAUGCCGCGUGCAGGAUUGAAUGCUCUAUGAGUUGUAAACUGCUUUUAUUCGGGACGAACAAGCUUUAUUCUUAAAGCUCUGACGGUACCGAAAGAAUAAGGACCGGCUAACUCCGUGCCAGCCGCCGCAGUAAUAC